rnacentral:rRNA from 1 species
UGGGGAAUAUUGCACAAUGGGCGCAAGCCUGAUGCAGCCAUGCCGCGUGUAUGAAGAAGGCCUUCGGGUUGUAAAGUACUUUCAGCGGGGAGGAAGGGAGUAAAGUUAAUACCUUUGCUCAUUGACGUUACCCGCAGAAGAAGCACCGGCUAACUCCGUGCCAGCAGCCGCGGUAAUACGGAGGGUGCAAGCGCUAAUCGGAAUUACUGGGCGUAAAGCGCACGCAGGCGGUCGGUCAAGUCGGAUGUGAAAUCCCCGGGCUCAACCUGGGAACUGCAUUCGAAACUGGCAGGCUAGAGUCUUGUAGAGGGAGGUAGAAUUCCAGGUGUAGCGAUGAAAUGCGUAGAGAUCUGGAGGAAUACCGGUGGCGAAGGCGGCCCCCUGGACAAAGACUGACGCUCAGGUGCGAAAGCGUGGGGAGCAAACAGG